rnacentral:lncRNA from 1 species
GUCCUACCACUGCAAGAAACUGGAUUCUGUGGACAACUGGAAUGAACUUGGACGUGAAUUCUUCCUGAGAGCUUCCAGGUCCCCGUAUCUGUGAAACCGCCUUGGAAAAGCCUCUACACACAAGCAAUGCCUUGUUCCUGGCCAACUACCACAGGCCUGCUCCAGCACUCCUGUCCCUGAGGCUCCCAUCCCUCUGAGACUGGCUGUGCCCGGGAGAAAGAGGAGGAGGAGGAAGAGGAGGAGGACUCUCCGGAGAUCAGAAGUCGGGUUGAACCAGACUAGCACGGAAAAGGGAAGGUGGAAAAGAAUCUGAGGGAAAGAGGGUACCCUUCGGAAAACAAGGAAUAUUCAAGUACCAGGUGCGAAAGUUUUAAAUAGAAACCCGCUUACAUUGCACUUGGAGUAACAACAGCUGGCUGGAGGUCCUGGGGCUCCUCAGAAGACGAAGAAUUUUUCCGGGACAGUCUCAACAUCACGUGAAGCCAUUGUAGCAAAGGCUACAGCUCAGUGGCCCCCUGUCUAUGCAUCUCAAAUUGCGAGCUUAGGGAUUUAUUUUCUAACUUGUACACUAAACCUCUCACAUUCCACCCGCACACAAUGACUCUGUUUUUCAAAAUGCUGUCAUACAUGGGAAUUUUAUGACAUCAAACCCUUAAAAAUGUGGAAACUUUGGUUUCAAAAUACUUAAUAGGGGAAAAUAAUAAACCCCUUGAUUCACAGUUUCUUUGCUUGCUUACGGUUCGUUUCUGACACUGUGACUGGCGCGUGUUUGGGAGGCCGGGUUUCGGAGGCAUAAUCAAGUAUUCAUAUAUGCCUGGUCUUGGCACCGCAGAACGCUCCCUCUAAUCUGGAAAUAUUUUCCCUUCAGACAGGAAUAGAGAGGUUACAUUUGGGUCACUAGCAAUCUCACAAAAGGCUUUUCAAACGAGAUGAAAGAAAAGAAGUUCUGAUUUGUUGGGAGAAAUCGGAGAGCUUUCCAACUCGAGGGAUGUGGUGAGCGUCCAGGAGCGCGUCCAGGAGCGGCAUCUCUGGGGUGGGAAGCCGGGAGCACCCCCGACGGAUGGGCUGAGCGAGAAGGACAGGGUUACAGCCGGCGGAGGAGGCGAUGGAGCCCCUGCUUCCUCCAGGUGUCCCUUACGCAGACUUUCCAGGCAGGCUGUUGGCUGCAGGCGGCCGUCCCUCUUCCUGUGGCUUGGGCAUCAGCUUUCCAGCUCUCUCUGGAAAGCCUGUGUAAUGGCCGCCUGCCUGCAUGCGCUGCCUCGCCCACGACCCCAACAGUUAAACAGCUCUGUUCACAACCAGGGGAGGGUGACAACAUUUCAGAUGCAUUUCCUCCAGGCAGGACGAGUUGGCCCCAGCGGAGCGUACACCUGCGUUCCUCAAUCAUAGGAGGCUCUGUCUUUCCUCUCGCAUGACCCCGCUUUCCUACGUCUGUUGGGAAAGCAGAAUAUUUAGAAUCAAAGGGGCAGCCAGGGGAGGGAGAGAGGCGAAGUGCUGCCCAGCGCCUCAAAUGUCGCUGAGGAAUCAGGAGACACAGUUUCCUUCAGCUUAAAGAACUUACUUAGUUCCUUAAAGUCGAAUGAAUUCCUCAAGCACUGGAGAAACUUUUGCAAAAAUAUCCAGAGCCCAGACCAGUGCUUGGCGUGCAGCACACACUCCAUGAACGGCGUGGAGUGCGGACGCAGAGCACUGUUUCU